ACAAGCGGUGGAGUAUGUGGUUUAAUUCGAUGCAACGCGAAGAACCUUACCUGGUCUUGACAUCCCGGAGACCCUUAGGAAACUAGGGGUGCUUCCAUCUGGAAGAAUCUGGAGACAGGUGCUGCAUGGCUGUCGUCAGCUCGUGUCGUGAGAUGUUGGGUUAAGUCCCGCAACGAGCGCAACCCUUGCCUUUAGUUGCCAGCAGUUCGGCUGGGCACUCUAAAGGGACUGCCGGUGUUAAACCGGAGGAAGGUGGGGAUGACGUCAAGUCCUCAUGGCCUUUAUGACCAGGGCUACACACGUACUACAAUGGCCGAUACAAAGGGCAGCGACACUGUGAGGUGAAGCCAAUCCCGUAAAAUCGGUCUCAGUCCGGAUUGGAGUCUGCAACUCGACUCCAUGAAGUUGGAAUCGCUAGUAAUCGUGGAUCAGCAUGCCACGGUGAAUACGUUCCCGGGCCUU
rnacentral:rRNA from 1 species